rnacentral:rRNA from 1 species
UACGUAGGGGGCAAGCGUUGUCCGGAUUUAUUGGGCGUAAAGAGCGUGUAGGCGGCUUGGUAGGUCCGCUGUGAAAAACUCGAGGCUCAACCUCGAGAUGUCGGCGGAAACCACUUGGCUAGAGUCCGGAAGAGGAGAGUGGAAUUCCUGGUGUAGCGGUGAAAUGCGCAGAUAUCAGGAGGAACACCAAUUGCGAAGGCAGCUCGCUGGGACGUUACUGACGCUGGAGACGCGAAAGCGUGGGGAGCGAACAGG